rnacentral:rRNA from 1 species
CAAUGGGGAAACCCGAAGGAGCAACCCGCGAGGGAUGAAGGCCUUGGGCUGUAAACCUCUUUUAUCAAGGAAGAAGAUUGACGGUACUUGAUGAAUAAGCCACGGCUAAUUCCGUGCCAGCAGCCGCGGUAAUACGGGAGUGGCAAGCGUUAUCCGGAAUUAUUGGGCGUAAAGCGUCCGCAGGCGGCCCUUCAAGUCUGCUGUUAAAAAGUGGAGCUUAACUCCAUCAUGGCAGUGGAAACUGUUGGGCUUGAGUGUGGUAGGGGCAGAGGGAAUUCCCGGUGUAGCGGUGAAAUGCGUAGAUAUCGGGAAGAACACCAGUGGCGAAGGCGCUCUGCUGGGCCAUCACUGACGCUCAUGGACGAAAGCCAGGGGAGCGAAAGGGAUUAGAUACCCCUGUAGUCCUGGCCGU